AAUCAACGCUGGCGGCGUGCCUAACACAUGCAAGUCGAACGCGAAAGCCCCUUCGGGGGCAAGUAGAGUGGCGUCCGGGUGAGUAACACGUGGGUAAUCUACCUCCGGGUGGGGAAUAACUCGCCGAAAGGCGGGCUAAUACCGCAUAAUGCAGCGGCACCGAAUGGUGAUUAGUUGUUAAAGCGGGGGACCUUAGGGCCUCGCGUCUGGAGAGGAGCCUGCGGCAGAUUAGCUUGUUGGUAGGGAAUGGCCUACCAAGGCUGCGAUCUGUAGCUGGUCUGAGAGGACGGCCAGCCACACUGGCACUGACACACGGGCCAGACUCCUACGGGAGGCAGCAGUGGGGAAUUUUGGGCAAUGGGCGAAAGCCUGACCCAGCAACGCCGCGUGAAGGAGGAAAUCCUUCGGGAUGUAAACUUCACAAGCAAGGGAAGAGCGCGCAGGGUCGAAUAAACUCUGCGUCCGACGGUACCUUGCGUAAGCCACGGCUAACUACGUGCCAGCCG
rnacentral:rRNA from 1 species